CUCUGAUUGGUGGGAUAAGUGAGCGAGGAGCUCGGGGGAGGAGCAGAGGCAGCCGCGCCACAAGGGCAUUAACCUGUGGGUUACUGGCUGCCGUGGCCGAACUCUCAAUGACACUCUUCUUCCGUUCUCCACGCACUGGAGGGCUAGCUCCAGCCCGGUUGUCUAGCUCUUUAGGAGCCUGAAAACAGACAGAGGACCCCAGUAAGGUGUGAAGACUGAACACAGGAAGACCGGAAAUGAAAAGCAGGGGCUUCCCCCUUGAGGUUCUCUACACCAUUCUUGGAUUUGCAUGACCGCUCCCGAGGGACAUGCUCGUUCUCUUCUGGAGAGACGCCGGAAAAGGUCAGAAAGGAUCCGAACAUAUACGGCUUGGAAAAUAAAUAAAUAAGCAAACUGG